rnacentral:rRNA from 1 species
GACGAACCGUGCGAACGUUAUUCGGAAUCACUGGGCUUAAAGGGCGCGUAGGCGGGUUCUCAAGUCAGGGGUGAAAUCCCGCGGCUCAACCGUGGAAGUGCCUUUGAUACUGGGGACCUCGAGGGAGGUAGGGGCGUGCGGAACUUCCGGUGGAGCGGUGAAAUGCGCAGAUAUCGGGAGGAACACCGGUGGCGAAGGCGGUUCUCUGGGCCUUACCUGACGCUGAGGAGCGAAAGCGUGGGGAGCGAACAGG